UACGGAGGGUGCAAGCGUUGUCCGGAUUUAUUGGGUUUAAAGGGUGCGUAGGCGACCUUAUAAGUCAGUGGUGAAAGCCCACAGCUCAACUGUGGAACUGCCAUUGAUACUGUAAGGCUUGAGUACAGACGAGGUAGGCGGAAUUGAUGGUGUAGCGGUGAAAUGCAUAGAUACCAUCAAGAACACCGAUUGCGUAGGCAGCUUACUAGGCUGUAACUGACGCUGAGGCACGAAAGCGUGGGGAGCGAACAGG
rnacentral:rRNA from 1 species